GUAUAAUAGAUAUUGAAAAGAUAAAUACAAGUUGAAUAGUUGAAUGUCUUGUCUUCGUUUUAAAGUUUGAAUGGUGGCUCUAUGUCAAUGUAUGUGGAAGUAGUAAGAGUUUAAAAAUGAGUAAGUUGAAUGAGGAUUUGAAGGGUCUCCCCAUUGAAAUACAUUAUAAAUUUUUGUUGAAUAAAGUUGAAUAAAAUUAAAAAUAUAAAUGUUAAAAAUAUGAAAAAUAGAAGCAGUGUUGUCCAAAAGAAUAGGAAUCUAACGGUGUUUGAAUGGUUUUUCUAAGUUGAACGGUUUUGAAGGAGUAGGCUUACAAAAAACGUACGGAAUACAGAAUAAAAUAUAAUAACUAGAAAGUGCAUUUUCUGAAGAAACUGCAGUGUGAAUGCUUGAAUCUGAAUGUAUGCACUGAAAUGAAUUAAUUGCUGAAUUUUGAGUUAAAAAUAUUGAAUGAGAUAAAAAACAAAACAAAAAAAAACCCGAAUUUAACCUGAAAACAAAGGUGCUGAACUGCUAAAAGCUGAAGGUUACACAGAAGAAGAAGUUGGAAAAAAGCUGAAAAUGUUUUAAUUGUAAAUUAGAAAAACCUAAGAAAUGAGAAAAGAACAUUUAGAGUCAGAAAACAUCUGAACGAAUAUUAAAAGGUCAUAUUCUUUGAAUCACUGAAUGACUAAAAUGUGAUCCCUCCACUUUGAUCCACACAGUUUAAAAAUUUUAAAUGUCUGAGAUUUUAAAGACACAGUGUUAGAAAGAGAACAACGAUGGCAACGUUUUGAGGGUAAAAUGAUGGCUGUAACACUGUGGACACAGCAGCAGUUGAAAGAGAAGUGUUUAAGAUGAAUCUUGGCAGAGUGAGAGAGAAAGCUCGUUAAGCAGGCAGGUGUGAGCCUGGUUGCUAUAGUGACCGCACCCAAUGGCUCCAUACACACGACACAGACAUGCACCUCACUUUUGCUGCUUAAAAUGAACAGAAAAGUCAGGCCGAAACAAAUCGUUCCCAUAUGAAAAGUACAAGUCGUAUUGACGAAAUUCUUUCACCGUGAG
ensembl:lncRNA